UACGAAGGUGGCAAGCGUUUGUUCGGAUUUACUGGGCGUAAAGGGAGCGUAGGUGGUUAGGUAAGCCCUCCGGGAAAUCUUCAGGCUUAACCUGAAAAGGUCGGGGGGGACGUGCCUGGCUAGAGUCCGGAAGAGGAGAGUGGAAUUCCGUGGUGAGCGGUGAAAUGCGCAGAUAAUCAGGAGGAACACCGGUGGCGAAGGCGGGUCUCUGGGCCGUAACUGACGCUGAGGAGCGAAAGCGUGGGGAGCGAACAGGG
rnacentral:rRNA from 1 species